UGUGAUGUGGCUCAGUAUAAGAGCACUUGCCUAUCAUGCAUGAAGUCUUGUGUUUGAAUCCCAGCACUACAA
rnacentral:tRNA from 1 species